rnacentral:lncRNA from 1 species
GCGGCUUGGUUUACCCGGUUAAAUGAAAAUAUUCCGAGGAACCAGGUUUCCUCGGAAUUUCCUCGGAAUUUACCGAGGAAAUUCUGAGGAACCAGGGUUUGGGGUUUCAAAACAUCGAUUAUUUUCGCCGUAUUUCAUUUCUUAUACAAUUAUAAUGCAUACCAUUGAGGAUUCUUUGUAUAGAUGAUCAUAAACCAUGAAAUAACAAAAUUUCAAAAAUAAUUGUAAGUAUUCCCUUUACCGUUUGUUAAAGUGUAUAAGUGUUUCUCUUAUGUUGUGUGGUUUUCGUUCAUGCAAUCGUAAAAGUGUUUGUUAUUGGGUAAAACACCAAAGUUUGACUUCAUAAUCUGGUUAAGACACUUAAUGAAGGUUAUAUACGUGUUAUUCAAUCCGUAAAACGUUGUUUUCGGUUUAAAACCCCAAGUUCCUCG